rnacentral:hammerhead_ribozyme from 1 species
AGCCGAAACCGCUCCAGAAUGGUGAUGAGAAGGGGGCGGUCUACGUGGGAUCGCCUCCACGUACUGACGAGGCAGGCAGAA